GACGAACGCUGGCGGCGUGCUUAACACAUGCAAGUCGAACGGAAAGGCCCUGCUUUUGUGGGGUGCUCGAGUGGCGAACGGGUGAGUAACACGUGAGUAACCUGCCCUUGACUUUGGGAUAACUUCAGGAAACUGGGGCUAAUACCGGAUAGGAGCUCCUGAUGCAUGGUGGGGGUUGGAAAGUUUCGGCGGUUGGGGAUGGACUCGGGGCUUAUCAGCUUGUUGGUGGGGUAGUGGCUUACCAAGGCUUUGACGGGUAGCCGGCCUGAGAGGGUGACCGGCCACAUUGGGACUGAGAUACGGCCCAGACUCCUACGGGAGCCAGCAGUGGGGAAUUUUGCACGAUGUGCGGAAGCCUGAUGCAGCAACGCCUCGUGCGGGAUGACGGCCUUCGAGUUGUAAACCGCUUUCGCCUGUGACGAAGCGUGAGUGACGGUAAUGGGUAAAGAAGCACCGGCUAACUACGUG
rnacentral:rRNA from 1 species